ACUACCGUACAUAAUAAUAAUGUUAUUUAGUCUACGCUGUAUAAUAUUAUAAUAAAUCUUUCUUGACGGAACAUUUUAUUUUUUUGCUUUACAAGAUAUUAUUAUAAUUAAAUAACUACGAUGUUGCAGUUGUUGUUAUUGUUUUGAAGUUGAUACAUCUAACCUACAAGCAUUUUUAUAAAAUUGUAAUUUAUUUCUCGAUAAAAAGUUUAAAAUGUAUACCAUUUAUCUACAUAAAGUAUAACUUAAAAGAAAUACUUAUAUCGUAAAACCAUUUAAAAUAGAAGAAAAAAAUCAUGCACACGAUAUGUACAGAAACCGUAUACCUCGAUGAUUUGAUGAUUUGACCUCGUUGAAAUCGAUGCCUUGAAGAUAGGAGUCGCUGACAACCGAGUGCUGGUACUGCAACGACAGUCUAUGGCGGCGGUGACGUCUGUUAAUGAAAUAGAUAAUACUUUUGAAGAUGCAAUGAAGGCAUCUCUAAAAUCACAGAGAUGAAGACCACUAGGGUGGCAGUUUAAACCAAUGAUUAAUCAAGAUUGAGCAGGUUUCCGAGAUUUAAGACUCCGAGUUGAUUGGUCAACAAAGCAAUCAACCGGCAGACUUUCUUAAUAAAAUAUUCCUUAAUAUUUGUUCACGUUUUAAAAAAUAAAUUUAAUAUAAUAUUGGUAUUAUAUAAAUUUAAUACUUUAUUUAAGUUCCUUUCUUCUAUUUUAGUUAGUAUAGUUACUAUUAUACUACUAGUUUAUGUAUGUUUUUAACAAAUUUCUAGGAAAGCUAAACAUAACGCUUAAAAAUGGCUAAAAAUACAGUGUAAGAAUCUGUAAAACUAAAACACGAAAUAGAUUACUAUUAUAGAUCACCUUUACGGCUAUACAUCUGGUAAAACUUUUAUUAAAAUUAUUUUAACUAAUAUAUCUGACGA